AGACGAAGAGGAAACAAGCGGCCUCGGUCAGCGAGGCACUGAACGGAAGCAGGGAACUUGCCCAGCAGUGGGGACAACGCAGACCUGAACGAGGCAUCUCCCCCAGGACCCCCGCUCUCAGCACAGAGCACGGAGACCUCCCUGCACGCCCCCCACCUGCUCCGUCUGCCCGUGAGGGUCCCGGGCUGCCCCCAGCCCCCUCGGGUCACGGUCACUGGGGUGCAUCACUCCCUUUGUGCCAGUAACUCCAGGCGUGAUCCUGACGCCACGAAGUCACCAGCGACACCACCAGCCGAAGCGGCCUGACCUCACAGAGCAGAGCCUCAUCCCUUCCUAAUCCCGGCCACUCCCCGCCCGCCCCGUUCACCGGCUCCCCUCCGGUCCUCUCUGACGCUCAGCUUCGGGGGUGCCGGAGGUGAGCCCUCUCCCUCCGCCCGGCUGCAUUCAGGGUCCCCGUCACUCGGGGAAAAACCAAAGGUCUGUGUUGAAAAUGACACGUCCGCUGAGCAAAAUUCAAGUCGUGAGCCUUGGCUCCCACCUGCCUCCUCAGCGCAGCUCGGUGCCCCCGCCGGGGGCCCGUGGUUCCUGCCCCGUUCCGUGCUCCUCCCCGAGCAGAAGGUCCCUGACGCCUGGGAAGGUGGUGGCUCUGAGGGCAGGACGUGGGUCCCGCGCCGCAGCCGGCUCCGGGAAAGAGCAUCUGCAGGGGAACAGCAGGGACCCCCACCGCCCGGCACGGACUGACGAUGCUCAGCCCCUGCCUCACCGCUUCCCACCGCCCCGCGGGGCAGGUGCCUGCGACCCGAGGUACAGAUGGCGACCGGGCAGACAGUGGUGGCGAGGGCAGGUGCGGUGGCCCCUCGGCACCACUGUCUGCCGAGGACCUCGGGACGUCCAGUGCCGACACACCCUCCCUCUCCUGCCCCGACUGGACCACUCGCCCCCGGGUCCCUCCUGUAGCCCCACGAGCCCCCGCCCGGCGGCUGAGUCUCUCGGAUGAUCUCCGUCCCGGUCCUUCUGCCCAGACACCAAAUGAGACGACUUUCCCACCUUCCGGGGGCCUGGCCCGUGACUCGCAGGCCUCCUGGCUAAACGGUUUCCUGAGGGGAAAACAGGACCACGGGGCCUUGCUGAGAACUCCCUGCCAUCGGUCAGGACGCCACCAAGGCUGAGUUCUCUGAGAUGCAAACCCUUCAGCACUGGUGUCUCCCGUCUUUCCAGGAUUCCGGGGCCUUAGGGGCCCUCGGAGUUACAACCUUCGCGCAGGACCAGGUGGUAACCAGUCUAGGCUCCGAGAGCCGGGUGGGGUGUGUUGUGAGCGGUCACCUCUGCCACAGACAGCUGGGGGAUGAGCGGGUGUGGCUGUGUUCCCAUCAAGCAUCCCUUGAGAAAACAGGCCGAGGAUUGGGUGUGGCCGGGAGGCCGUGUUGCUGACCCCUGGCUUUGAGAAAGGCAGAAGGGAAGACCGGCUCCGUUUCCUUUCUUCCUGAGUUCAGGACACCGUCACGGCCCCUGGGGGCUCGGGAACUGCUCAUUCAGAAGCGUUUGUGACCUCCCACGCCAGCUGGUUCCCCUUUUCCAACUAGGACGAUUAAAAAAAACCCAAGAACUAUUUUCGAGGCCCUUGCAGACGGCCAUUGGCAGAGUGCCAGCCGCGGCUGGAGCUGCGACGGCAGGGUCCUCUCUGAACCAGCCGGAUGGUGCCUUCUACCCGGGAGAGAAAAUUCCAAGGGACUUCUGGGGUUAAAGCUCCAAGCCUCCGAUGCAAGAAUGCUGCCUCCCCAGGCCGACUGGAGUGCCUCCAAGCAGAGCCACCAGGAUGGAGAAACUGUCCCCAGCCUGGGGACGCCUCCACCUGUCGCAGCCCAGAGAGGCCAGGAGGCAGCGGCUGGGCUCAUCCCCGCCCAACACAGCGGGGC